CGCCUGCAAGGGCAAACCCGUCGAAAGGCGGGGACGCAAAGUUUCCGGGCUAAAGGACAUGUUCCUAUUCGACAUCAGGUCGAGUGCCAGCGGGGCUGCCAGG
rnacentral:ncRNA from 1 species